rnacentral:rRNA from 1 species
UACGAAGGGGGCUAGCGUUGCUCGGAAUCACUGGGCGUAAAGGGUGCGUAGGCGGGGCUUUAAGUCAGAGGGGAAAUCCUGGAGCUCAACUCCAGAACUGCCUUUGAUACUGAGGAUCUUGAGUUCGGGAGAGGUGAGUGGAACUGCGAGUGUAGAGGUGAAAUUCGUAGAUAUUCGCAAGAACACCAGUGGCGAAGGCGGCUCACUGGCCCGAUACUGACGCUGAGGUGCGAAAGCGUGGGGAGCAAACAGG